rnacentral:rRNA from 1 species
UACGGGGGAGCAAGCGUUGUUCGGAUUUACUGGGCGUAAAGGGCGCGUAGGCGGCCACCGCAAGUCGGUUGUGAAAUCUCUGGGCUUAACCCAGAAAGGUCAACCGAUACUGCGGGGCUAGAGUGCAGAAGGGGCAACUGGAAUUCUCGGUGUAGCGGUGAAAUGCGUAGAUAUCGAGAGGAACACCUGCGGCGAAGGCGGGUUGCUGGGCUGACACUGACGCUGAUGCGCGAAGCGUGGGGAGCGAACAGG